GACGAACGCUGGCGGCGUGCUUAACACAUGCAAGUCGAACGGUGAAGGGAUCAGCUUGCUGGUUCUGGAUGAGUGGCGAACGGGUGAGUAACACGUGAGUAACCUGCCCCCUUCUUCUGGAUAACCUCAUGAAAGUGUGGCUAAUACGGGAUAUUCUGCUCCUGCUGCUUGGUGGGUGUGGGAAAGCUAUUUUUUCGUUGGUGGUUGGGCUCUCGGCCUAUCAGCUUGUUGGUGGGGGGAUGGCCUACCAAGGCGGUGACGGGUAGCCGGCCUGAGAGGGGGGACGGUCAGGAUGGGACUGAGGCAAGGGCCAGACACGUAAGGGAGGAAGAAGUGAGGAAUAUUGAAGGAUGGGCGCAAGACGGAUGCAGCGACGCCGCGUGAGGGAGGGAGGCCUUCGGGUUGUGAACCUCUUUAGCCAGUGAGGCAGGCGUGUCCCUUGUGGGUGGGUUGACGGUAGCUGGAUAAGAAGCGCCGGCUAAAUAAGUG
rnacentral:rRNA from 1 species